GAUGAACGCUAGCGGCAGGCUUAAUACAUGCAAGUCGUGGGGCAGCAUGAGUAGCAAUACUUGAUGGCGACCGGCAAACGGGUGCGGAACACGUACACAACCUUCCGAUAAGUGGGGAAUAGCCCAGAGAAAUUUGGAUUAAUACCCCGUAACAUAUAGAGUAGGCAUCUUCUUUAUAUUAUAGCUUCGGCGCUUAUUGAUGGGAGUGCGUCUGAUUAGGUAGUUGGCGGGGUAACGGCCCACCAAUCCUACGAUCAGUAGCUGAUGUGAGAGCAUGAUCAGCCACACGGGCACUGAGACACGGGCCCGACUCCUACGGGAGGCAGCAGUAAGGAAUAUUGGACAAUGGGCGAAAGCCUGAUCCAGCCAUGCCGCGUGAAGGAUUAAGGUCCUCUGGAUUGUAAACUUCUUUUAUUUGGGACGAAAAAAGGGAAUUCUUUCCCACUUGACAGUACCAAGUGAAUAAGCACCGGCUAACUCCGUGCCAGCAGCCGCCGUAA
rnacentral:rRNA from 1 species